GGAAAAGUCAGUCAAAGAGGGUAAAAACCCCGUAGACGAAAUGUGGAAGACACCUAGGAGGAUCCUGAGUACGGCGGAACACGAGAAAUUCCGUCGGAAUCCGGGAGGACCAUCUCCCAAGGCUAAAUACUCCCUAGUGACCGAUAGUGAACCAGUACCGUGAGGGAAAGGUGAAAAGCACCCCGGAAGGGGAGUGAAAUAGAACCUGAAACCGUGUGCCUACAACAAGUCAAAGCCCGUUAAUGGGUGAUGGCGUGCCUUUUGUAGAAUGAACCGGCGAGUUACGAUUGCAUGCGAGGUUAAGUUGAAGAGACGGAGCCGCAGCGAAAGCGAGUCUGAAUAGGGCGUUUGAGUAUGUAGUCGUAGACCCGAAACCAUGUGAUCUACCCAUGUCCAGGUUGAAGGUGCGGUAAAACGCACUGGAGGACCGAACCCACGUACGUUGAAAAGUGCGGGGAUGAGGUGUGGGUAGCGGAGAAAUUCCAAACGAACUUGGAGAUAGCUGGUUCUCUCCGAAAUAGCUUUAGG
rnacentral:rRNA from 1 species